ensembl:lncRNA
UAGUUAAACUUAAAGCAUCAGAUAUGAAGAAAUUUGGCAUGUUACAGCAACUCAUCAGAAAUAUUUUUUGACAGGUACCUUAUAAAAAAAGAAACAAGAGGAUGCCAGAGAGGAUAUAAAAACUUCAAAUUUCUCUUUUUGCAAAAUUCUUUUGCCCAAGGAAGCUGCAAGAACUCAGUACACUGCCUUUCCAGCACCAUUAGCUAACUCUUCUGUCCCACACAGCAGCUGGACCCGCACUGACUCCCUAAAAGCAGUGAGUUUUGAUAUCAGUCUCUGUAUCUUAAAGAGCCUCUCAUCUCAGAUUGCAUCACUGGGAUCCAGCUACCUGGAAGAUAAAAGGCAGAACAUCAGGAGGCAUGCAAAGCUGGAGGGAGGGGAGAAAUGUUCCUGUUAGCAGGGAAAACCCCUACUCACAAGUGAUUUGUGACAUGUUUCCACAGCAAGAGGACAUCCCAUCUGAAGGGCCUGUGUGAAAGAUCAUCCCCCACUCUUCCCCACACAAGUGGUUGGUUUGUGCCUCCAGCUACUCCGUGCUCCAAAGAAGACAAGAAUCUCCCCUCUAGCACCUGCAUGAAAAGACCAAGCCCAACAGAUCUGCCCACGCCCAGGAAGUGCCCACGCUCUGCUCCCUUAUCACCUCCAGGAGUGAUGGAGCGGCGAGAUGGGGGAAGGCAAGAGCACAGUCCCACAGGUGCUGACCAGGGGGUGCCAGUGUGCAAGGGACACGGGGAUGCCUUGCUCAGGGACAGUCUGUGGGGAGCCCUGGUAGCUGUUUUGUCCACAGUGAACAGCUCCUGAGAUGUGAAGGAUCCUGCUUGUUCUGGUUUUCACCACGUGCAGCAAGCGGACACGAACCCACAACAUCCUUAACUGCAUUCCACUCCAACCAAAACACAAGCACUAAUCAGAUGGUUACAAAGUCCUUCGGCUGCUUCAGAUGGGAAGAUUUAUGCCCUCAAAGACUUGGCCAGCCCCUUAUUGCUCAUUCAUUGUGUUUGCCUACAAGUUAUGACUGCUCUUCCCAUUUAAUUUUUAAUGUAGCUGUAGCCUUGGCUCACUAAGCUCCGGGAAAACUGUAAAGGCACUGGCUGUGAACCUAUAAUCUCUUGGCAAGAGCAGUGUGGGCAAGCAGAGUCUCUCCCCAUUGCGCAACAGUUCACAGCACCACACUCUGACCCUUUUGCAAGAACCACAUUUUUCUUCAAAGCAAGUGUGCAGUUUACAUGUGCUCCAGUCAGAUGCUUGAGCGGGAGAAAAGAGUAAAAUUUCCCAGAUGAGGCAUAUGGAUUCAGUGAACAUCCGAAUCACUCAUUGUGGGUCUACAUGUGGUUUAUUGCAAUUCAUGAAGCUCAUUGCUAUGCUUACCUAGUGUUUCUCUUCUGUUUCAUUUUUCCUGAGUGCUCAUUAUCUCACUAUCAGUAGUCUAGGUCCUGAGGGGAACUUUAAUAAUUCUGUUCCUUAGAUUUUAACCCAAAGCAGAUUAUAUUACUAUGGUAUUGGAAUUUAGUGACUUAAGAUGUUUUCUAUUCCAGUUGUUUUUAUUUAGGCAGCGUAUCCCAAGUGGUCUUUCCAUUCUAGCUUGCCAUCACUUAGACCUCCUUUGCAUUACCCAAACUGUGAAGCCUGACACCAGCAAACCACCUAUACAGCAA